rnacentral:misc_RNA from 1 species
AUUGCUAAUUACUAUCGACACCUGAAGAAUGAAGAUACAGGACCUUAUAUGGAAAGGGGCAGACCUAAGCGGUAUAAAUGUACCCAAAGAUGGCGAGAGCAUGCUGAGAGAAUGUCAAAUGAAUCCUUGGAAUCAUGUUUUUGGGCUGAGGCAGAGGAGCUCUGCAAUAAAUCUGGAAACCCAAGCAUCAGAGACAGAGUUUUGCAGCUGAAGAGAAGAGUUGAAGAAUGGAUUCGAAAUGGGGUUCUAGAUGAAGAUGUGUUCUUGAAUGGUUCCACCUUUGAAAAAUUGUUGACAGAGCACUCUUUAAAAAACUCAGAUCAGAAUGUUGUAUUUCAAGGAUCAUGGAGUUGAUCAUCAAGGAGACUUUGCAUGUGUAAUAAAAAAUAUUGUUAUCAUGUGCAAGCCUUGUGAUGGGUGUUCAAAUUGCCCAAUGUUGCUCCGUAACACAACUAAUAGCUUACAAUUUUGUUCAUAUCUUGUUACACUUCAGUACAAUUUUAAUACUGCGGUUCUAAAAAGCACAAGCCCUUGUUCUAGCAAUCAUUAC